GAGCCUACUCAGCUCAGAGAACGAAGAGGUCGGGUGAAGCCGCAACCCUUAUCUGGCCUCUGCCACUCGCAAGCCAGCAUUCUUGGAACACAUGCCAGGCACUCCCCUAAGAGUAUGAACUCACCAAGUAUGAACUCAUUGAACGAUCACAACAACAGGCAUAAGAAGUUGGUCUAAAGCUGAUCUCUAUUUUGGAGGAAAAAGCUGUUCCAGAGAAGCGAGCCCUUUAAAAAUGGGUUAAGUCAUGAUGCCUUCUGAAGCGUUGAAGCAAUUUGAUGUAUCCUGUUUUCCGAGGAGAGCAAUUUGAGAGAAUAUGUUCCCUUCUGUCUCUCUCUGUCAUGUUCUCAUUGGCCC